rnacentral:tRNA from 1 species
GGAAUUGUGGCUCAGCGGUAAAGUGUUCGCCUAGCAUGUGCAAGGCCCUGGGUUCAAUCCUCAGCACCA